rnacentral:rRNA from 1 species
AAGUAGGGCGGGACACGAGAAAUCCUGUCUGAAUAUGGGGGGACCAUCCUCCAAGGCUAAAUACUCAUCAUUGACCGAUAGUGAACUAGUACCGUGAGGGAAAGGCGAAAAGAACCCCGGGAGGGGAGUGAAAUAGAUCCUGAAACCGCAUGCUUACAAAAAGUAGGAGCCUCGUAAGGGGUGACUGCGUACCUUUUGUAUAAUGGGUCAGCGACUUACAUUCAGUGGCAAGGUUAACCGAAUAGGGAAGCCGUAGAGAAAUCGAGUCCGAAUAGGGCGUUCAGUCGCUGGGUGUAGACCCGAAACCAAGUGAUCUAUCCAUGGCCAGGAUGAAGGUGCCGUAACAGGUACUGGAGGUCCGAACCGACUAGUGUUGCAAAACUAGCGGAUGAGCUGUGGAUAGGGGUGAAAGGCUAAACAAACUUGGAAAUAGCUGGUUCUCUCCGAAAACUAUUUAGGUAGUGCCUCAAGUAUUACCAUCGGGGGUAGAGCACUGUUUUGGCUAGGGGGUCAUGGCGACUUACCAAACCAAGGCAAACUCCGAAUACCGAUGAGUACAGCUUGGGAGACAGAGCACCGGGUGCUAACGUCCGGACUCAAGAGGGAAACAACCCAGACCGCCAGCUAAGGUCCCUAAAAUUGGCUAAGUGGGAAACGAAGUGGGAAGGCUAAAACAGUCAGGAUGUUGGCUUAGAAGCAGCCAUCAUUUAAAGAAAGCGUAAUAGCUCACUGAUCGAGUCGUCCUGCGCGGAAGAUGUAACGGGGCUAAGCCAGUUACCGAAGCUGCGGAUUUGCAAUUUAUUGCAAGUGGUAGGAGAGCGUUCUGUAAGCCUGUGAAGGUGCGUUGUAAAGCGCGCUGGAGGUAUCAGAAGUGCGAAUGCUGACAUGAGUAGCGUUAAAGGGGGUGAAAAGCCCCCUCGCCGUAAGCGCAAGGUUUUCUACGCAACGUUCAUCGGCGUAGAGUGAGUCGGCCCCUAAGGCGAGGCAGAGAUGCGUAGCUGAUGGGAAACAGGUCAAUAUUCCUGUACCGAUGUGUAGUGCGAUGUGGGGACGGAGAAGGUUAGCUCAGCCAACUGUUGGAUAUGUUGGUUCAAGCCUGUAGUCGUGCCUGGUAGGAAAAUCCGCCGGGCUUAGAUGAGGGGUGAUAACGAGGCUGCUUGCAGCCGAAGUGAGUGAUACCCUGCUUCCAGGAAAAGCCACUAAGCUUCAGCUACACACGACCGUACCGCAAACCGACACUGGUGCGCGAGAUGAGUAUUCUAAGGCGCUUGAGAGAACUCAGGAGAAGGAACUCGGCAAAUUGACACCGUAACUUCGGAAGAAGGUGUGCCCUUAGUAGGUGAAGUCCCUCGCGGAUGGAGCCCAAUGGGGUUGCAAAAAAUCGGUGGCUGCGACUGUUUAUUAAAAACACAGCACUCUGCAAACACGAAAGUGGACGUAUAGGGUGUGACGCCUGCCCGGUGCUGGAAGAUUAAAUGAUGGGGUGCAAGCUCUUGAUUGAAGUCCCAGUAAACGGCGGCCGUAACUAUAACGGUCCUAAGGUAGCGAAAUUCCUUGUC